rnacentral:rRNA from 1 species
GAUAAACGCUGGCGGCGUGCCUAAUACAUGCAAGUCGAGCGAACGGACGAGAAGCUUGCUUCUCUGAUGUUAGCGGCGGACGGGUGAGUAACACGUGGAUAACCUACCUAUAAGACUGGGAUAACUUCGGGAAACCGGAGCUAAUACCGGAUAAUAUUUUGAACCGCAUGGUUCAAAAGUGAAAGACGGUCUUGCUGUCACUUAUAGAUGGAUCCGCGCUGCAUUAGCUAGUUGGUAAGGUAACGGCUUACCAAGGCAACGAUGCAUAGCCGACCUGAGAGGGUGAUCGGCCACACUGGAACUGAGACACGGUCCAGACUCCUACGGGAGGCAGCAGUAGGGAAUCUUCCGCAAUGGGCGAAAGCCUGACGGAGCAACGCCGCGUGAGUGAUGAAGGUCUUCGGAUCGUAAAACUCUGUUAUUAGGGAAGAACAUAUGUGUAAGUAACUGUGCACAUCUUGACGGUACCUAAUCAGAAAGCCACGGCUAACUACGUGCCAGCAGCCGCGGUAAUACGUAGGUGGCAAGCGUUAUCCGGAAUUAUUGGGCGUAAAGCGCGCGUAGGCGGUUUUUUAAGUCUGAUGUGAAAGCCCACGGCUCAACCGUGGAGGGUCAUUGGAAACUGGAAAACUUGAGUGCAGAAGAGGAAAGUGGAAUUCCAUGUGUAGCGGUGAAAUGCGCAGAGAUAUGGAGGAACACCAGUGGCGAAGGCGACUUUCUGGUCUGUAACUGACGCUGAUGUGCGAAAGCGUGGGGAUCAAACAGGAUUAGAUACCCUGGUAGUCCACGCCGUAAACGAUGAGUGCUAAGUGUUAGGGGGUUUCCGCCCCUUAGUGCCGCAGCUAACGCAUUAAGCACUCCGCCUGGGGAGUACGACCGCAAGGUUGAAACUCAAAGGAAUUGACGGGGACCCGCACAAGCGGUGGAGCAUGUGGUUUAAUUCGAAGCAACGCGAAGAACCUUACCAAAUCUUGACAUCCUUUGACAACUCUAGAGAUAGAGCCUUCCCCUUCGGGGGACAAAGUGACAGGUGGUGCAUGGUUGUCGUCAGCUCGUGUCGUGAGAUGUUGGGUUAAGUCCCGCAACGAGCGCAACCCUUAAGCUUAGUUGCCAUCAUUAAGUUGGGCACUCUAAGUUGACUGCCGGUGACAAACCGGAGGAAGGUGGGGAUGACGUCAAAUCAUCAUGCCCCUUAUGAUUUGGGCUACACACGUGCUACAAUGGACAAUACAAAGGGCAGCGAAACCGCGAGGUCAAGCAAAUCCCAUAAAGUUGUUCUCAGUUCGGAUUGUAGUCUGCAACUCGACUACAUGAAGCUGGAAUCGCUAGUAAUCGUAGAUCAGCAUGCUACGGUGAAUACGUUCCCGGGUCU